rnacentral:rRNA from 1 species
GUGCAGCAGGCGCGAAUACUCUGCAAUGCGCGAAAGCGCGACAGGGUUACCCCGAGUGUCGUCCGCUGAGGACGACUUUCCCAGUGUAGAUAGCUGGGGAAGUAAGAGAGGCGAAGUCUGGUGUCAGCCGCCGUGGUAAUACCAGCUCUCCGAGUGGUGGGGACGGCUUAUUGGGCCGUAAACGACAUCCGUAGCCGGUCUAACAAGUCCCUUCGUUAAAUACCAGCGAUUCAAUCGCUGGACUGCAAGGGAGUACUGUUAGACUAGGGGCGGGG